GUGCUCACUUUGGCAGCACAUACACUAAAACUGGAAUAAUAUAGAGAAGAUUAGCAUGGGCCCUGUGCAAAUUUGCGAAGCAUUCCAUAUUUUU
rnacentral:snRNA from 1 species